AGGUCCACUGCAGCGUCCUCCUCAGCAGAGAAACACGAACUCCUUGAAAGUGUGGUGAGGGAGAGGGAGUGCGCUCAAGAGCCUUCACCCGAGUCUGGAUUGGGGCUUCACUGCUUUCUUGCUCUGGGCUUUUUGGAUAAAUAUUUCCAAGUUUAAGAUAUCAUCCUCUCAGUAACGGAACUUCAAGCAAAACCCGCUCUGGAAGAUAUACAUGAUAAAAGCACCCUGUCAACCACGGACACAUCCCACAGCCAUUUCCCCCUUGCGACAGCUCAUAAAAUGCUGCAUAAUAGUUCCUGUGUGAGUAUGAGAAAAUACUGAAACAACGUCAAGAGAAUCAAGCAAAAGGCAACUGGUCCCCUGGAUCCAUCUUCAUUGGGUCCCACUGGACAACUUUUUGCCGGAUGAACUGUAGAGGCUGGUAAUACCACAGGGGAGUGGUACCGAGU